rnacentral:pre_miRNA from 1 species
GUAAUGGAUGGAAUGGUUACUUAUGAAAAGAAGAAAUUAAUAAUAAAUCUCUAGCAUAUCCAACACAAUCAAAGCAUAUCCAAUUUUAGAGAGUUACUUUUGAGGAUAUGCUAGAGUGUCAUUAUUGCUUCCUUCUUUUCUUAAUGUAACUAUUCCAUCCAUUG